GACGAACGCUGGCGGCGUGCCUAACACAUGCAAGUCGAGCGAGUGGAGUUCUUCGGAACAAAGCUAGCGGCGGACGGGUGAGUAACACGUGGGCAACCUGCCUCAUAGAGGGGAAUAGCCUCCCGAAAGGGAGAUUAAUACCGCAUAAGAUUGUAGCUUCGCAUGAAGUAGCAAUUAAAGGAGCAAUCCGCUAUGAGAUGGGCCCGCGGCGCAUUAGCUAGUUGGUGAGGUAACGGCUCACCAAGGCGACGAUGCGUAGCCGACCUGAGAGGGUGAUCGGCCACAUUGGGACCGAGACACGGCCCAGACUCCUACGGGAGGCAGCAGUGGGGAAUAUUGCACAAUGGGGGAAACCCUGAUGCAGCAACGCCGCGUGAGUGAUGACGGCCUUCGGGUUGUAAAGCUCUGUCUUCAGGGACGAUAAUGACGGUACCUGAGGAGGAAGCCACGGCUAACUACGUGCCAGCCGCCGCCGUAAGAC
rnacentral:rRNA from 1 species